AAAUUGAAGAGUUUGAUCAUGGCUCAGAUUGAACGCUGGCGGCAGGCCUAACACAUGCAAGUCGAACGGUAACAGGAAGCAGCUUGCUGCUUCGCUGACGAGUGGCGGACGGGUGAGUAAUGUCUGGGAAACUGCCUGAUGGAGGGGGAUAACUACUGGAAACGGUGGCUAAUACCGCAUAACGU
rnacentral:rRNA from 1 species